GUGCCAGCAGCCGCGGUAAGACGAACCGUGCGAACGUUGUUCGGAAUCACUGGGCUUAAAGGGCGCGUAGGCGGGCCGCAAAGUCAGGGGUGAAAUCCUCCAGCUUAACUGGAGAAGUGCCUUUGAUACUGGCGGUCUUGAGGAAGGUAGGGGCAUGCGGAACUGAUGGUGGAGCGGUGAAAUGUGUUGAUAUCAUCAGGAACUCCGGUGGCGAAAGCGGCGUGCUGGACCUUUUCUGACGCUGAGGCGCGAAAGCCAGGGGAGCAAACGGGAUUAGAUACCCCCGUAGUCC
rnacentral:rRNA from 1 species